UUGAAGGGAAAGGAGGCGGCUCCAUCGAAAUUGUGCCGUCGGCCACCUAAAUGCUCAAGCGGAUUGUCCGCGGCGCUGAGGAAGAAGGCGGCUGUGGUCGGCGUGAUGUUUGCUGGAGGGAAACCGAGCUGAACGUGAACCACGGCGACCUGGCAAUUGUGGACGUCGCUGCCAAACGACCCAGACCGGGAAAUGUUUAAAAGGACAGGAUGCAGCUGCGUCAAAUUGUGCUGUCAGAGAAAUCAUCGAAGUCCCAAUUUGUGGCGCUCUGGAAGAAGGCAGCUCUCGUUGCAGUGAUGUCUGCGGGCAAUCCGAAGAGAAACCGAGUGGCACCUGAACCACAAAGAUGUGGAAAUCUGGACAUUGGUGCAAAUGUAUGACGCUGGCCAGGAAACAUUUGAAUGGCAAGGAGGCAGCUCUGUAGAAGUUGUACCAUCGUUCAUCUAAAUCCUCAAAGUCACAUUUGGUGGUGCUGUGGAAGAAGGUGGCUGUCAUCGGGGUGACGUUUGCUGGAGGGAAACUGAGCUGCACGUGAACCACGAUGAUCUGUCAAUUCUGGACAUCGCUGUGAACAUACGACGUUUGACUGUUAGAUUGCGUGGGCUUUGGGGGAGAAGGCACGAAGAGGAUGAAGAGAGAAGACAUAGCUUGAGGAGACGGUUGCCGGACCCACUGGGCCUGGACUCGGGGAGGGAGCCCAGGAGUCGACAAUGAGUGAAGGAGGAUCAGCGAAAGGGAAUCCGUGAGCUCCAACGUUUGUGCACUGGACAUGUUUAUGAGAUUAUUGGGGCCUUUUAUUUGUUUUCCUUUUCUUUUAUUUCUCUACUAACCCCAUACUUUUUUUAAUACUUUAUUUGCAAUUUUCUGUUUUACAAAGACAAAAUAUAUUCAAGGCGUACAAAACAGUACAAAGGAAAUACAGCUCCAGGUGGUGCACAGACAAAACAAAUCAAAAACAAAAAGGCUGCCAGAUAAUUUACAAGAUUACAUAAAUAAACUUUCAGAAAAAGAGUUGACACAAUAGUGACAUCAUGGAAGCAAUGUAAAGUAAAAUGAAUAAAGGAAUCCGGUUGGGCACCACACCCACUCAUGAGACUAGACAAGUCAAGGUCACUACGUAUGUGAGGUAUAUGACACUGAGCCAAUAAGGGUACCCAUAUUCUCUGAAAUAUAUUCUGUGUAUUGGGUUUGUGCAGACGCAGUCUUUCCAUUUGUAUAACAGACAACAUCUCCUUGAGCCAGUGUGCGAAGGUGGGUGGAGUAGUAGACUUCCAGGACAGAAGAAUAAGUUUCUUAGCCACCACCAUUCCUAGAUGCAGAGCAAUCUGCAAAGUCUCUGUAGAGCAUCCAAAGAUGGCGAGAUGGUGAUUGGGCUGAAUGUCUCGAGAAUAGACUUUUGAAAGCCACUCAAAAAUUGCAGUCCAAAAGUUGUAUAAUGUAGGGCAAAACCAGAAAAGAUGUGCUAGUGAGCCCUCAGCAGAGCAGCGCUGAUCGCAUGCAGGAGACACAGAUGGGAAGCUGCGAUUCAGUUUUGUUUUUGAAUAAUGCAAUCUAUGCAUCACCUUGUACCGGAUUAACCUGUAGCGUGAAGUAAUAGAACAACAGUGAACCCAGGACAUUGCCUCCUCCCAAAGUUCUACUAAUAUCUCUGAGUUCAAGUCCCUGGCCCAGGCUUCCCUAAUAAGAUCUGUAGAAACCAAAGGAGUAAAGCAAUUCACAAAUUUUGAUAUUAACUGUUCGGAGUCUGG